UUAAUAAAUCACGCAAAUCCUUUGUGGCCAAAUUGGGUGACGGAAAGUGCGGUUUCUUGGGGGUAAGGGCCCCCCAGAAAAGCUGGAGAAACAACAUCAGGGUGAGUAAGGCCCUCACCGUUAUGGACAUUGAAUCUCAUGUCCGAGCCGGGCUUCCCCGUGGUGAAGUGAUCGAGAGAUGCGAAGAUCAGGACGAGGGUAAGGGGCCCCCGCCGUUAUGGACCUUGCUCUCUUUUGCCGGUGUGUGCUUCACCGUGGGCGAAGUGUGGCCGUGUGGACACCACUUUCCGUCCCGCUUUCUUUAUUUCUUCUUGAAUGUAUAAAAUUAUUUACAAGUUGAUAAAAACAG